AACGAACGCUGGCGGCAUGCCUAACACAUGCAAGUCGAACGAGACCUUCGGGUCUAGUGGCGCACGGGUGCGUAACGCGUGGGAACCUGCCCUUAGGUUCGGAAUAACUCCCCGAAAGGGGUGCUAAUACCGGAUAAUGUCUUCGGACCAAAGAUUUAUCGACUUUGGAUGGGCCCGCGUUGGCUUAGCUAGUUGGUAGGGUAAAAGCCUACCAAGGCGACGAUCCAUAGCUGGUCUGAGAGGAUGAUCAGCCACACUUGGACUGAGACACGGCCCAGACUCCUACGGGAGGCAGCAGUGGGGAAUACUGGACAAUGGGCGAAAGCCUGAUCCAGCAAUGCCGCGUGAGUGAUGAAGGCCUGAGGGUUGUAAAGCUCUUUUACCCGGGAUGAUAAUGACAGUACCGGGAGAAUAAGCUCCGGCUAACUCCGUG
rnacentral:rRNA from 1 species